rnacentral:rRNA from 1 species
UACGAAGGGACCUAGCGUAGUUCGGAAUUACUGGGCUUAAAGAGUUCGUAGGUGGUUGAAAAAGUUGGUGGUGAAAUCCCAGAGCUUAACUCUGGAACUGCCAUCAAAACUUUUCAGCUAGAGUUUGAUAGAGGAAAGUAGAAUUUCUAGUGUAGAGGUGAAAUUCGUAGAUAUUAGAAAGAAUUCCAAUUGCGAAGGCAGCUUUCUGGAUCAUUACUGACACUGAGGAACGAAAGCAUGGGUAGCGAAGAGG